CCAGGCUUCGUUGCCCCCAGCGACCCAAAGGUCCGAUUUCCCCGCCUUGAUUCUCCCCACUUCCCCAUACAGGCGUCUGGCUCCGCAGCAGAACACGAAGUUUUCAUUCCCCAAGGGGCGGCCAGGGGGCGAACUAGGGAAAGGUAGUCCUCUGCAUUCUGCCGUGUGCUGGAAUGGUGCAGAGUGACGAUGGCGUGGCGGUAAGGGGUUGAGGGCUCACGCGAACGCCUAAGUGACCAGAACGACUGGUGUGAAACCGUGAUCUGACUCUCUGGAGCCUGGGACUGGUUUCAGCGAGAGCCUCUGUACUGCUCUGUAGUCUCCGCUAGGACAUGGACGAAAAGGGACGCAGCCGGGAGAGCGACUGCCCCAGGUGGGGGCUGGGGGGACGUAAGGGAAGAAUAAUGAUUAUCUGGCUAUGUUUUUGUUUUAAAAAAAAAAAAAAACUGGUGUAAAUCUCCAUAGACUUCCUAUCCUCGCUCCCUUCACCCACCCACGCGCUCCCAAGAUGCAAUAAGCAAAUAAAAAGACUAAUAACGCUGUA
rnacentral:sRNA from 1 species